rnacentral:rRNA from 1 species
UGAGGAAUAUUGGUCAAUGGGCGAGAGCCUGAACCAGCCAAGUAGCGUGCAGGAUGACGGCCCUAUGGGUUGUAAACUGCUUUUAUAUGGGAAUAAAGUGAGGGACGUGUCCCUUAUUGCAUGUACCAUACGAAUAAGGACCGGCUAAUUCCGUGCCAGCAGCCGCGGUAAUACGGAAGGUCCAGGCGUUAUCCGGAUUUAUUGGGUUUAAAGGGAGCGUAGGCUGUUUGUUAAGCGUGUUGUGAAAUGUAAGAGCUCAACUUUUAGAUUGCAGCGCGAACUGGCAGACUUGAGUGCGCACAACGUAGGCGGAAUUCAUGGUGGAGCGGUGAAAUGCUUAGAUAUCAUGACGAACUCCGAUUGCGAAGGCAGCUUACGGGAGCGCAACUGACGCUAAAGCUCGAAGGUGCGGGUAUCGAACAGG